UACGUAGGGGGCAAGCGUUAUCCGGAUUUACUGGGUGUAAAGGGAGCGUAGACGGCUGUGCAAGCCAGAUGUGAAAGCCCGGGGCUCAACCCCGGGACUGCCCUUGGAACUGUCAGGCUAGAGUGCGGGAGGGGCAGGCGGAAUUCCUGGUGUAGCGGUGAAAUGCGUAGAUAUUAGGAGGAACACCAGUGGCGAAGGCGGUCUGCUGGACAGCAACUGACGGUGAGGCGCGAAAGCGUGGGGAGCAAACAGG
rnacentral:rRNA from 1 species